GGGUAGUAAACUUCUUUUAUAUGGGACGAAAAAAGGUCUUUCUAGAUCACUUGACGGUACCAUAUGAAUAAGCACCGGCUAACUCCGUGCCAGCAGCCGCGGUAAUACGGAGGGUGCAAGCGUUAUCCGGAUUCACUGGGUUUAAAGGGUGCGUAGGCGGGCAGGUAAGUCAGUGGUGAAAUCCUGGAGCUCAACUCCAGAACUGCCAUUGAUACUAUCUGUCUUGAAUAUUGUGGAGGUAAGCGGAAUAUGUCAUGUAGCGGUGAAAUGCUUAGAUAUGACAUAGAACACCCAUUGCGAAGGCAGCUUACUACGCAUAUAUUGACGCUGAGGCACGAAAGCGUGGGGAUCAAACAGGAUUAGAUACCCUGGUAGUCCACGCCCUAAACGAUGGAUACUCGACAUACGCGAUACACUGUGUGUGUCUGAGCGAAAGCAUUAAGUAUCCCACCUGGGUAGUACGUUCGCAAGAAUGAAACUCAAAGGAAUUGGCGGGGGUCCGCACAAGCGGUGGAGUAUGUGGUAUAAUUCGAUGAUACGCGAGGAACCUUACCUGGGCUAGAAUGCCGGGAGACCGCUAGUGAAAGCUAGU
rnacentral:rRNA from 1 species